CUUUGCUUACGGUGGCGUCGUUGAUCGGGUCGCCACUUUCCCGAAUGAAGGUUGAGGGAGGCGAUGGCUGAGAUACGCAUACGCGUCAUACUCGUGAACGGGUGCUGUUUGUGGAGACUGGUCUGUUUAAGCUAACACGAGCUAUUAUACAUCUCUAAGUAAUUGUAAUACGUUGAUUUGAACUGGUAGUUGCAGUUAGAUGAUGAUAUUUUAUAAAAUUGUUGAUGUAUUGUUAUUAUUUUUGCUUCUAUGUAAAUUCAAUGUUAACGUGUAAAAGUGCCCUUGUGUUGUGGCCUAUUUGCUGAAUAAAUGUUGAAGAGCGGAAGUCAUUCCUUAUUUUUGUAAUUAAAUAAAUGUUCUGGA